rnacentral:lncRNA from 1 species
UUUUAACAUAUCUAAGACGAGAUGAUAUAACAACCAUAGAAAAAUAAACCACUUCUCGUCUUAUAUUAAAUGAGGAGUCCUGUUGGAAAUUCUACACCAUAGUUUUCAGUAUUUUUCAGACUUCUGAGAUGAAUGGUAGUCUGUAUCUGUACGAAUAUAUUUGGUUACCAAUGCUGGUUUCAAUACAACAGAAGAGAGAGUGUCUUAUUUAUUUAUAAUGCGCCAGACAGUUUUAACACUCUAAAUCGCAAUUUUGGUGCAAGCAGAUGCAAUGUCUUCAAGGUUGUUCCACU